UAGGUGACCUGCGGAGGAUCAUUAAAUAAUUUGAUAAUUACACAAUUAUCUAAUUUACUGUGAACUGUUUUAAUUAUGACGCAUAAGGGGAUGACUAUAUACCAUAGGGUAGGUAUAUAGAAUGUUAACCUAGUCAUAGUCAAGCUUGAUGCUUGGUACCCAUUAUUAUUUACCAAAAGAAUUCAGAUUAAAUAAUGUAACAUAGAUCUAAACAAUCUAUAAAACAACUUUUAACAACGGAUCUCUUGGUUCUCGCAUCGAUGAAGAACGUAGCAAAGUGCGAUAACUAGUGUGAAUUGCAUAUUCAGUGAAUCAUCGAGUCUUUGAACGCAACUUGCACUCAUUGGUAUUCCAAUGAGUACGCCUGUUUCAGUAUCAAAAACAACCCUUAUUCAAACAUUUUGUUGGAAUAGACUUGAGCGUAGUAAGUUUAACUUGAGACGCUUUAAAUUCAGUAAGGCCUGAUAUUGUUUCACUGCCUAUAUUUUUUUUAAUUUAAGAAAGAUAGAAGCGAUUGAAGCUGUGGUUAAGGCCUCCCAAAUAAUUUUUUAAAUUUGAUCUGAAAUCAGGCGGGAUUACCCGCUGAACUUAAGCAUAUCAAUAAGCGGAGGAAAAGAAAAUAACAAUGAUUUCCCUAGUAACGGCGAGUGAAGAGGAAAGAGCUCAAAGUUGGAACCUGUUUGGCUUAGCUAAACCGGAUUGUAAACUGUAGAGACGUUUUCCUGACACGCCAGACAAAUAAGUCCUUUGGAACAGGGCAUCAUAGAGGGUGAGAAUCCCGUCUUUGGUCUGAGCUGUUGUCUUUUGUGAUACGUUUUCAAAGAGUCAGGUUGUUUGGGAAUGCAGCCUAAAUUGGGUGGUAAAUCUCACCUAAAGCUAAAUAUUUGCGAGAGACCGAUAGCGAACAAGUACCGUGAGGGAAAGAUGAAAAGAACUUUGAAAAGAGAGUUAAACAGUAUGUGAAAUUGUUAAAAGGGAACCGUUUGGAGCCAGACUGGCUUGAUCGUAAUCAAUCUAGGUUUCGACCUGGAUGCACUUGCGGUCUAUGCCUGCCAACGACAGUUCUUUCUGAAGGAUAAAACUAAGAGGAAUGUGGCCCCUCGGGGUGUUAUAGCCUUUUAGAUAAUACUUUGGAUGGGACUGAGGAACGCAGUGAAUGCUUAUGGCGAGAUUGCUAGGCGCUUUUGUUGAUAUAUGUCAGAAUUUCUGCUUCGGGUGGUGCUGAUGUCUAAAGAUGAAACCCGUUUGGUUAAUUUUCUAUCACUA
rnacentral:rRNA from 1 species